UACGGAGGGUGCAAGCGUUAUCCGGAUUCACUGGGUUUAAAGGGUGUGUAGGCGGGUCUGUAAGUCAGUGGUGAAAUCUCCGAGCUCAACUUGGAAACUGCCCAUUGAUACUAUAGAUCUUGAAUUUUGUUGAGGUAGGCGGAAUAUGGUCAUGUAGCGGUGAAAUGCAUAGAUAUGACAUAGAACACCGAUUGCGAAGGCAGCUUACUAAGCAAAUAUUGACGCUGAGGCACGAAAGCGUGGGGAUCAAACAGG
rnacentral:rRNA from 1 species